GGUAGAUGAGAUUGGGGGAUCAUGUGAGGUUAGCUUUCUUAGCUAACCUCUCCUUUUUGGUUCCUACUCAGCUCUUGACGAUUGAUGUCAAAAACCAACCCUUUGCUUUGCUUUCUUCUUCUCUCUCUCUCUCUCUCUCUCUUCUCUUAAUUCUUAAUUAAUUCAAUCGCGAUCGAUGGUUGUUACCAGGAAAAUGCACAUGCACACCCUUCCCCUCCAAUACGUAAUGUGUCACCCACGAGUCAAAGCUCCUCACGUGUCCAGAGGGUACCAAAUUGCUCAUAAAGGGACAACACUCAACAUGCUUUCCCAGUUACCAUAACUUUGUUACCUUAUCUCGUUCAUUUCUAUAAAUCAAGCUCUCCUUUACGCUCUAACACAUCAUAUCAAACUCCCUUUCGGUGCAGUUGCACAGCUUCAUGCUUCCUUAUUUUCCUUUUCUUUUCUUUCCCAUUUUUUUCUUCCAUUGUUUUAUGCAGAGAGAGAUUGCCGGAGUUAACUAGCAAAUUGGAGAUUUUCUUCAAUCACUAACUGGUGAGUGAUUUCCAUGCCAUGCUUGUCAAGUGAGCAGCCUUUUGCGGGUUAAUCCUUUCUUUCGUUGUCUGUUCGACCUUGAACACAUCUUUAUAACAGGGUUUAAUCAACACAUAGAUGAAAUAACAUACUCAUACUGAACCCAUAUAUCUAUUCCAAUUCCAUCUUUGCUUAGUUACCCUUUUGAUCUUCACAUAUUCCUAUGGAAACCUGCAUAAAUGAUCUAGGUACUUUUUUCUUUUUAUGUUUGAACUUUGAAUAGGCAUGCGUGGUAUUGGUAGGUGUGAAUAACCUUGUGAUUUCCGUUAGCUACUACGGUUGCUUCGCUAGAUGACUGUAAGGUGCGGUGCAAGUUAGCAACUAAAGGAAACAUGUCAAACUACCAUAUGAUUGGUUCAAGUACUCACCUUUCAUGCACCUCUAAAGUCUAGCUUGCUAAUAGUAAUCUUUAAUGUUACCAUUUACCAUCUGAAUCAGGGAAGGAACCACGAGGUUUCAGUAUACUUCAACUUGAGGUCUUUUGUUCAUGCUUUUGCCUUUCGGCAUCUUAAGUGAAUUCUAUAAAGAUUAAUAGCUUAUGGCGCAUUCAUGAAAUGAAUUAUUUUAGAUUUGAAGUCCUAGUCUUUUGAUUGAGGAUACAUGGUUGUUAAAAUCUGAUGACUGUAAACAGGAUUUGAUUAAGCUUUAGGCAGAUUCUGAUGUAAUAAUAUCGUGCAAAUCAAACUAUAAGUCUAUACCCUAGACAUCCAAAAAAAGGGACCAUCCUACUAACAAAUUUUAGAAUGGUUCUGACCCAUCACUUUAACCCUUGUAUGAUGGGUUCUCCGCCAUGGUUAAAGCCAUUUGAAGGUAUGAAGCUCAUGCAUCUUCCUCAUUUACAAGUUAGCAAGGGUUGAACUUGAAGCAUACCCAUACAUAUAUAAAACCCAAAUUACUUUUAGCUUGAUUUGACAUUGCUGAUUGCUACUUUGCUUCUCCUAUAGGAAAAUCCAACUAGAAAGCUUUGAAACACUUACUAUUUGUGCAUAUAGAUAUAAGGUUGUGUGUUUUCUUAAUUUACUUGUCAAAUAGUUCACUAGUUGUCCUUUUUCUCCAAUUCGUGGAUAAACCUGUUGACUUUACAUAUAUAGAUUAGUUGCAAUGUGUAGAAAAAUUUACAGUAUUGAGAUAGCUUUAGCAAACAUAUAUAGAAAAACAAAGGAGAAAGAAAGAAAUGAAGUUCCUAUAUAAUAAGGUGGUAAAGUCUAAGGUCGAUCUGAGAGCGAAAAUGAGGUUUGAAGCAAGAGGCUAUUGAUUUGACAAAGGCUUUGCAUGGAAUUCAACACCUUCAAAUCGAUUUUAAGCCUUAAUUCUUCAAAACCACCUUUAAAACGGCGUGAUGCCUGGUGCCCCAUUUCUGUUAGGUCAACUGAAAUGAUAACAGGAAAAGUUGAAGAGGGACCCAAAUAAGCAUAUUUCAAAUGAGAAAGAAGUACUUUUAACUCCAAUUCAGGUGGUUCCUAGAUCGACGUAUUUGGUUAUGUAUACUCACUAGAUGCUAACUCUAAUGAUUUGGUUGUGAAGAAAAUUCCCUCGAAUUGGCGUUUAACAAAGCCAAAUAUUUAUCAUCUUUAUUGUUAUUUGGUGGGUUGGAUACUAAAAUGCGUUCCAACGGAUCAUCUACAGAGUUAAGCUCCCAUACUGUAGAAACCAACGUUUUUGUCUUGGACAUAGCGGAACAUUCUUUAAUUGCAUAUGGAAAUCUCAUGGCCUUGAAUACAUUGAAUGUCACUUGAUCAUCUUGAACUUGUAUGGUGAGGUCACCUUUCUGCACAUUGAUUAAUGUUCUACCAAUUGCUAAGAAAGGUCUCCUUAGAAUGAUUGAUACUU